ACUGAUGUGAAAUGCAAUGACAGGUGUCAAGGUCCAGUUGAUGGUUCUGUUUCAGGUCCAGCUCUAGAGGCUCAGGUUCAGGUUUAUGAGGAAAUAAAUGUUUCAUGUGUUGAUUUCAGUUUG